rnacentral:rRNA from 1 species
AAAUUGAAGAGUUUGAUCAUGGCUCAGAUUGAACGCUGGCGGCAGGCCUAACACAUGCAAGUCGAGCGGUAGCACAGAGAGCUUGCUCUCGGGUGACGAGCGGCGGACGGGUGAGUAAUGUCUGGGAAACUGCCUGAUGGAGGGGGAUAACUACUGGAAACGGUAGCUAAUACCGCAUAACGUCGCAAGACCAAAGUGGGGGACCUUCGGGCCUCAUGCCAUCAGAUGUGCCCAGAUGGGAUUAGCUAGUAGGUGGGGUAAUGGCUCACCUAGGCGACGAUCCCUAGCUGGUCUGAGAGGAUGACCAGCCACACUGGAACUGAGACACGGUCCAGACUCCUACGGGAGGCAGCAGUGGGGAAUAUUGCACAAUGGGCGCAAGCCUGAUGCAGCCAUGCCGCGUGUAUGAAGAAGGCCUUCGGGUUGUAAAGUACUUUCAGCGAGGAGGAAGGCGUUAAGGUUAAUAACCUUAGCGAUUGACGUUACUCGCAGAAGAAGCACCGGCUAACUCCGUGCCAGCAGCCGCGGUAAUACGGAGGGUGCAAGCGUUAAUCGGAAUUACUGGGCGUAAAGCGCACGCAGGCGGUCUGUUAAGUCAGAUGUGAAAUCCCCGGGCUCAACCUGGGAACUGCAUUUGAAACUGGCAGGCUUGAGUCUUGUAGAGGGGGGUAGAAUUCCAGGUGUAGCGGUGAAAUGCGUAGAGAUCUGGAGGAAUACCGGUGGCGAAGGCGGCCCCCUGGACAAAGACUGACGCUCAGGUGCGAAAGCGUGGGGAGCAAACAGGAUUAGAUACCCUGGUAGUCCACGCUGUAAACGAUGUCGACUUGGAGGUUGUUCCCUUGAGGAGUGGCUUCCGGAGCUAACGCGUUAAGUCGACCGCCUGGGGAGUACGGCCGCAAGGUUAAAACUCAAAUGAAUUGACGGGGGCCCGCACAAGCGGUGGAGCAUGUGGUUUAAUUCGAUGCAACGCGAAGAACCUUACCUACUCUUGACAUCCAGAGAACUUAGCAGAGAUGCUUUGGUGCCUUCGGGAACUCUGAGACAGGUGCUGCAUGGCUGUCGUCAGCUCGUGUUGUGAAAUGUUGGGUUAAGUCCCGCAACGAGCGCAACCCUUAUCCUUUGUUGCCAGCGGUUCGGCCGGGAACUCAAAGGAGACUGCCAGUGAUAAACUGGAGGAAGGUGGGGAUGACGUCAAGUCAUCAUGGCCCUUACGAGUAGGGCUACACACGUGCUACAAUGGCAUAUACAAAGAGAAGCGACCUCGCGAGAGCAAGCGGACCUCAUAAAGUAUGUCGUAGUCCGGAUUGGAGUCUGCAACUCGACUCCAUGAAGUCGGAAUCGCUAGUAAUCGUAGAUCAGAAUGCUACGGUGAAUACGUUCCCGGGCCUUGUACACACCGCCCGUCACACCAUGGGAGUGGGUUGCAAAAGAAGUAGGUAGCUUAACCUUCGGGAGGGCGCUUACCACUUUGUGAUUCAUGACUGGGGUGAAGUCGUAACAAGGUAACCGUAGGGGAACCUGCGGUUGGAUCACCUCCUUACCUGAAAGAA